rnacentral:rRNA from 1 species
AGCGAACGCUGGCGGCAGGCCUAACACAUGCAAGUCGAACGAAGCCUUCGGGCUUAGUGGCGGACGGGUGAGUAACACGUGGGAACGUACCUUUUGGUUCGGAACAACUCAGGGAAACUUGAGCUAAUACCGGAUGAGCCCUUAGGGGGAAAGAUUUAUCGCCGAAAGAGCGGCCCGCGUUAGAUUAGCUAGUUGGUGAGGUAAAGGCUCACCAAGGCUACGAUCCAUAGCUGGUCUGAGAGGAUGAUCAGCCAUACUGGGACUGAGACGCGGCCCAGACUCCUACGGGAGGCAGCAGUGGGGAAUCUUGCGCAAUGGGCGAAAGCCUGACGCAGCCAUGCCGCGUGAAUGAUGAAGGUCUUAGGAUUGUAAAAUUCUUUUACCAGGGACGAUAAUGACGGUACCUGGAGAAAAAGCCCCGGCUAACUUCGUGCCAGCCGCCGCGGUAACAC